rnacentral:rRNA from 1 species
CAGCUGGUUGGUGGGGUAACGGCCUACCAAGGCGACGAUCGGUUGCUGGUCUGAGAGGACGAUCAGCCACACUGGGAUUGAGAACGGCCCAGACCCCUACGGGGGGCAGCAGUGAGGAAUUUUCCGCAAUGGACGCAAGUCUGACGGAGCAACGCCGCGUGCAGGACGAAGGUCUUCGGAUCGUAAACUGCUUUUCCCAGGGAAGAGCAAGGACGGUACCUGGGGAACAAGCCCCGGCUAACUACGUGCCAGCAGCCGCGGUAAUACGUAGGGGGCGAGCGUUGUCCGGAUUUAUUGGGCGCAAAGCGCCCGCAGGCGGUCGCGUCAGUUUGGGGUGACAUCUCCUGGCUUAACCGGGAGAG